rnacentral:misc_RNA from 1 species
AGCAGCCGCGGUAAUUCCAGCUCCAAUAGCGUAUAUUAAAGUUGUUGCAGUUAAAAGCUCGUAGUUGAACUUCAGGCCUGUCCAGAUGGUCCGCCUUAAUUGGUGUGUACUGUCCUUGGGUGGGUCCUACCUUCUGGCGAAGCGGCAUGGCCUUAAUUGGUUGUGUUGGGGAACCAGGACUUUUACUGUGGAAAAAUUAGAGUGUUCAAAGCAGGCAAAUAUGCUCGAAUACAUUAGCAUGGAAUAAUGGAAUAGGACGAUGGUUCUAUUUUGUUGGUUCUAGGACCGUUGUAAUGAUUAAUAGGGAUAGUUGGGGGCAUUAGUAUUCAAUUGUCAGAGGUGAAAUUCUUGGAUUUAUUGAAGACUAACUACUGCGAAAGCAUUUGCCAAGGAUGUUUUCAUUAAUCAAGAACGAAAGUUAGGGAUACGAAGACGAUUAGAUACCGUCGUAGUCUUAACCAUAAA